AACCCAUGAUUUGGGCAUUUUCUCAAUAAAAACUUAUAUCUCUCCCAAGCUUCACACAAAGGCUCAUCAAUGCCUUGAGAGAAAGUUGCAAUUGCUGAUUUGGUGCU